rnacentral:rRNA from 1 species
AUUGAACGCUGGCGGCAGGCCUAACACAUGCAAGUCGAACGGUAACAGGAAGCAGCUUGCUGCUUCGCUGACGAGUGGCGGACGGGUGAGUAAUGUCUGGGAAACUGCCUGAUGGAGGGGGAUAACUACUGGAAACGGUAGCUAAUGCAGCAUAACGUCGCAAGACCAAAGAGCGGGACCUUAGGGCCUCUUGCCAUCGGGUGUGCCCAGAUGGGAUUAGCUAGUAGGUGGGGUAACGGCUCACCUAGGCGACGAUCCCUAGCUGGUCUGAGAGGAUGACCAGCCACACUGGAACUGAGACACGGUCCAGACUCCUACGGGAGGCAGCAGUGGGGAAUAUUGCACAAUGGGCGCAAGCCUGAUGCAGCCAUGCCGCGUGUAUGAAGAAGGCCUUCGGGUUGUAAAGUACUUUCAGCGGGGAGGAAGGGAGUCAAGUUAAUACCUCUGCUCAUUGACGUUACCCGAAGAAGAAGCACCGGCUAACUCCGUG